rnacentral:tRNA from 1 species
GAGGCUAUAGUUCAAUUGGUAGAAUGCGGGGCUGUAACCCUCGUAAUCCAGGUUCGACCCCUGGUAGCCUCA